rnacentral:lncRNA from 1 species
UUGGUCUGGUGUGGCUUUUCAUGCGAGUUGCCUUUCCAUUCUUUCGCUCGGCCGUUGUUUGGGUUACGCCGCCUCGACCUCUCCACAAAGAGGGGCAGAGAGGUGAAACAAAAAAGAAGAGCGGCCAAAAAAACAACGGCUGACAAAUCAUCGUGAGCGCUCUCCCGACACGUCGAGAAGAAAAAAAGAGAGCGCAGGCACGACACGGGAGCGAGAACAAAGAGGGGGAGAAAAAAGUAAGCCGCGACCUGCUAACGCGCGGCAACGACAUGGAGGAGAACACACAGAGAUGUAAAAAAUAAAUGGAUGGGAGAAGGGCCAGACCACGCUCUAAAAAAAGCCAGUGUACUCUUUUCCUCUUUCCUUUUUAUUUCCCACGCUUUUCCUUGCGCGGCUUUUUUUGGGUGCGUUGGGAAUGCGCACCGAGGCCGCGCGGUCGGCGGGGUGACCAGAGCGCGCCGGC